rnacentral:rRNA from 1 species
AUUGAACGCUGGCGGCAGGCCUAACACAUGCAAGUCGAGCGGAUGAGGGGUGCUUGCAUCCCGAUUCAGCGGCGGACGGGUGAGUAAUGCCUAGGAAUCUGCCCGAUAGUGGGGGACAACGUUUCGAAAGGAACGCUAAUACCGCAUACGUCCUACGGGAGAAAGUGGGGGCUCUUCGGACCUCACGCUAUCGGAUGAGCCUAGGUCGGAUUAGCUAGUUGGUGGGGUAAAGGCUCACCAAGGCGACGAUCCGUAACUGGUCUGAGAGGAUGAUCAGUCACACUGGAACUGAGACACGGUCCAGACUCCUACGGGAGGCAGCAGUGGGGAAUAUUGGACAAUGGGCGAAAGCCUGAUCCAGCCAUGCCGCGUGUGUGAAGAAGGUCUUCGGAUUGUAAAGCACUUUAAGUCGGGAGGAAGGGUUGUAGGUUAAUACCUUGCAGCCUUGACGUUACCGACAGAAUAAGCACCGGCUAACUUCGUGCCAGCAGCCGCAGUAACAC